GAACCGGAGGAGGCGGCGGAAGGCCCAAGAGGCGCAGCUUCAGACUUCUGCAGCGGGCACACCGAGGCUGGAAAAUUUGUUCAAAUGACGCAUACCUUGUCCGCAAUUGCAACGAAAGUUUCUCGCUGGUAAUACAUGGUUUUCAAGGUGAAGGGUUACAUGUAGAUGCCACAAACCUUGACCGCAAUUGCAACCGAAGAUUUUUGGAUGAACCGCAAGACGAUCAGAUGAAGGCUUUCAGUUGUCCAGGCCAGGCCAGGUGACCAAUGACGAUGAUAGAUCGGGUUCGAUUCAAGCUAUACGCUUGGUGUAUUCGGUUAUCGUGUCUGGCGACUGAGUCUAACUCACGUCCAAAGCACGGUGGCUGGGUCCCAGGCAUGCUUGCCACUUUGUUCUGCGGUCCUCAUCUAAGUUUCGACGGUGAUGACAUGGACUUAGGUUCAAAGUACGUGUUCCCCUUGAGUCAUUGUGAUUGAUUGAUGGGGGAAAUUAACGAUUGCGUGUCGCUAGUCAUUCACAAUAUCCCCUGUUGAAGAGUGUUGGCGGGAUAAGUCUUACGACUGUUAACAAUAGUAAGCAAUAGCUGGCCAGCGAUCCCCUACCUGAUCUCGAGGGGUAUAGAAUGACUGGGGUUAGAGGCCUGUUGUUAACCUGCGGAAUUUCGUCGGACGAAAUGUCAGGCGUGUCCGUGUGGGACUUGUGCUAAACCAGUUUAGUACUAAUGACGAAGACCUUGGGUCCUUUGAAUAACAACAGUGUUCUCAACCUCCUUGUGCCUCUCAAAGCUAACGUAUAUACCCGCUGAAAUCGACAAGACGGCGAUGAAGAAGGAGAGCCGGCCUCCAGCUCGAGAGCCGAGAAGACACUGGAUGGACCUGAAGAAUAUGUUGCUGCCAAUGUUGGAGCCAUACAGGGCAGCCCGAGCCAACAUUGUACAAGAGCCACAAGGUCCAGGGCCUCAAGGACAAGGGACACAAGGACAAGGGACACAAGGACAAGGGACACAAGAACAAGGGACACAAGAACAAGGGACACAAAAGACGAUGUUGCAAUCUGCGGGAUUGAGAUGAUGGCUGUCGAGAAGACCCAACCACUCAACCAAGAUCUACAAUUCGUCCUAUGGUAGAUGUGACUCUCAAAAGAUUUUGGAUGACGAAGGAAUCCAAUACAUAUAUGUCGCUCACAGAUACGGGCAGACAACCGAGAGUCGAGUGGGUUCAGUGGAUCGAAUGGUUGUGCAGAGGGAUAGCCAUGUGCAGGAGUGACGAACUACAGCUCAGCAAACGAUGCCUUGACAGAACAAUUCAACGAGAACCAUCGCUGAGAUCAGAAAGGGAACUUGUUUGCUGUGGGGAUGGAUUGGACACCGAAAUGUCUGUCAUUCUAAUAAACUAUAAUGACAAUCCAACUCCAAAGGGACUCUCUGGAUUUAGGGGAAGCUACGGACAUAGAGCCCUGACAUGAUAUCCUGCAGCCACCAUGAGGACAGCCUAUCUCAUACCUUCGGAAGGGUGCCAUCACACGCAUGGAGAAGCAUGCGACAGGAGGAAGAUGGAUGUUGCUGACCAGCACAUCCCAACGAUGUAUUUUUGUCACCGUAGACCUAUUGUUUUUAUUGAAAUAUCUGAUUGAAAGGUGAUUUUAUUGAUAAAAUUCCUAAAAUUUUCUGAUGGGAGAAGGCAUAUAUUUACCUUCUUAGGGCAAUGACAAUAUGUUGUCAUGGUUUAAAAUAAUGCACGUAUAAAGAAGGAAUAACAUUUUAGAGGAGGGUUUCUUUUGUUACCAGGGGCACCAUGAUCCAAGAGAUCAACAAUUUUCUUGCAAAAUCUUUUGAAAGAAAGCGAAAUGUGGAGUGGGCGUUUAUGGAAAGCCAAUAGGGCUUGUCAGUACCCAAACAAAUAAGUCUUAAGCAAAAUUGAUUUUUAGCUUAUGAAGGCAGAAGCUAAUAGCCUAGGGCACAUCAGGACCCUACUGCUUGAAAUGGUUUUCUCCUGAAAUAAUCACCAACUUGAUCAGAUAUUUCAUUAUUAUAUCUCCAUCACUUGAGACAUGGGGUUCAUAUGAUUUCUUUCUUGCUUAAACCCCAGGCAAAAAAGGAACAUAUGUGUCUGCGAUGGAACGUAGGCCUUUUUUUACUGUUUCUCGAUCUCCCCAGUACCAUAGAAUCCUCGGGCAUUGGUCAGAGCAGUUAAGCCGAGACCUUCUAACGUUGGCUGGCUCAGUUGCUUGGUAUCAUAUAAUACCAGAGACAACUGACCAACUACACAAAGAAGUUAAAGUUCCCUCAAUCACUUUUACCAAAUACCUGGGAACCAGGUAUUGAUGAAAAGACACAUUCAACUUAUAUAGUUGAAAACACU